rnacentral:misc_RNA from 1 species
CCUCCUUUCUAAGGAUGAAUAAAAGUAAAAUUUUAUUCUAAAUAAUAUACAGGUUAAUGUUGACCGUCCUCAUUUCUCUUCUUGAAGUAGUGUUUCUCUUUUCUGCAUAGGGGCCGGUAGCUCAGUUGGUUAGAGCACACCCUUGAUAAGGGUGGGGUCGAAAGUUCGAGUCUUUCUCGGCCCACCAAUAUAAUGGGGGAUUAGCUCAGCUGGGAGAGCGCCUGAUUUGCAUUCAGGAGGUCAGCGGUUCGAUCCCGCUAUCCUCCACCAAGAAACACUUAGUUAUUUUUUUUGUAAAUAAAUUUUAAUAUUAUCAAUAUCUAUAUCCGAUUGUUCGAAUAGAUGAACAAUCAUGAAUGUUCGAAUAGAUGAACAUUCCAAAAAAAUUUGAUUCAACACAGAAUUUUUUUCUGUGCAUAAAUCAAGCGUUUAAGGGCGUGUGGCGGAUGCCUUGGCACUGAAAGCCGAUGAAGGACGUGGUAUACUGCGAUAAGUUACGGGGAGCUGUAUGCAAGUUUUGAUCCGUAA